rnacentral:rRNA from 1 species
AUACGGAGGGUGCAAGCGUUAUCCGGAUUCAUUGGGUUUAAAGGGUGCGCAGGCGGAUAAUUAAGUCAGUGGUGAAAUCCCGGGGCUCAACCCCGGAACUGCCAUUGAUACUGAUAAUCUGGAAUACGGUUGAAGUGGGCGGAAUGUAGCAUGUAGCGGUGAAAUGCAUAGAGAUGCUACAGAACACCGAUCGCGAAGGCAGCUCACUAAACCGAUAUUGACGCUCAGGCACGAAAGCGUGGGGAGCGAACAGGAUUAGAAACCCUAGUAGUCC